UUUAUGGAGAGUUUGAUCCUGGCUCAGGAUGAACGCUGGCGGCGUGCCUAAUACAUGCAAGUCGAGCGAACGGACGAGAAGCUUGCUUCUCUGAUGUUAGCGGCGGACGGGUGAGUAACACGUGGAUAACCUACCUAUAAGACUGGGAUAACUUCGGGAAACCGGAGCUAAUACCGGAUGAUAUUUUGAACCGCAUGGUUCAAAAGUGAAAGACGGUCUUGCUGUCACUUAUAGAUGGAUCCGCGCUGCAUUAGCUAGUUGGUAAGGUAACGGCUUACCAAGGCAACGAUGCAUAGCCGACCUGAGAGGGUGAUCGGCCACACUGGAACUGAGACACGGUCCAGACUCCUACGGGAGGCAGCAGUAGGGAAUCUUCCGCAAUGGGCGAAAGCCUGACGGAGCAACGCCGCGUGAGUGAUGAAGGUCUUCGGAUCGUAAAACUCUGUUAUUAGGGAAGAACAUAUGUGUAAGUAACUGUGCACAUCUUGACGGUACCUAAUCAGAAAGCCACGGCUAACUACGUGCCAGCAGCCGCGGUAAUACGUAGGUGGCAAGCGUUAUCCGGAAUUAUUGGGCGUAAAGCGCGCGUAGGCGGUUUUUUAAGUCUGAUGUGAAAGCCCACGGCUCAACCGUGGAGGGUCAUUGGAAACUGGAAAACUUGAGUGCAGAAGAGGAAAGUGGAAUUCCAUGUGUAGCGGUGAAAUGCGCAGAGAUAUGGAGGAACACCAGUGGCGAAGGCGACUUUCUGGUCUGUAACUGACGCUGAUGUGCGAAAGCGUGGGGAUCAAACAGGAUUAGAUACCCUGGUAGUCCACGCCGUAAACGAUGAGUGCUAAGUGUUAGGGGGUUUCCGCCCUUAGUGCUGCAGCUAACGCAUUAAGCACUCCGCCUGGGGAGUACGACCGCAAGGUUGAAACUCAAAGGAAUUGACGGGGACCCGCACAAGCGGUGGAGCAUGUGGUUUAAUUCGAAGCAACGCGAAGAACCUUACCAAAUCUUGACAUCCUUUGACAACUCUAGAGAUAGAGCCUUCCCCUUCGGGGGACAAAGUGACAGGUGGUGCAUGGUUGUCGUCAGCUCGUGUCGUGAGAUGUUGGGUUAAGUCCCGCAACGAGCGCAACCCUUAAGCUUAGUUGCCAUCAUUAAGUUGGGCACUCUAAGUUGACUGCCGGUGACAAACCGGAGGAAGGUGGGGAUGACGUCAAAUCAUCAUGCCCCUUAUGAUUUGGGCUACACACGUGCUACAAUGGACAAUACAAAGGGCAGCGAAACCGCGAGGUCAAGCAAAUCCCAUAAAGUUGUUCUCAGUUCGGAUUGUAGUCUGCAACUCGACUACAUGAAGCUGGAAUCGCUAGUAAUCGUAGAUCAGCAUGCUACGGUGAAUACGUUCCCGGGUCUUGUACACACCGCCCGUCACACCACGAGAGUUUGUAACACCCGAAGCCGGUGGAGUAACCUUUUAGGAGCUAGCCGUCGAAGGUGGGACAAAUGAUUGGGGUGAAGUCGUAACAAGGUAGCCGUAUCGGAAGGUGCGGCUGGAUCACCUCCUUUCU
rnacentral:rRNA from 1 species